rnacentral:rRNA from 1 species
ACUUUGGGAUAACUUCAGGAAACUGGGGCUAAUACCGGAUAGGAGCUCCUGCUGCAUGGUGGGGGUUGGAAAAGUUUUCGGCGGUUGGGGAUGGACUCGCGGCUUAUCAGCUUGUUGGUGGGGUAGUGGCUUACCAAGGCUUUGACGGGUAGCCGGCCUGAGAGGGUGACCGGCCACAUUGGGACUGAGAUACGGCCCAGACUCCUACGGGAGGCAGCAGUGGGGAAUAUUGCACAAUGGGCGGAAGCCUGAUGCAGCAACGCCGCGUGCGGGAUGACGGCCUUCGGGUUGUAAACCGCUUUCGCCUGUGACGAAGCGUGAGUGACGGUAAUGGGUAAAGAAGCACCGGCUAACUACGUG